rnacentral:lncRNA from 1 species
UUUCCAGCUUUGUAUUUUUAGAGUUUCCUUGUGUGGGAGUAUGUGCAGCUCUGAAUCUACAAGUUACUUUGGUGCUUUUUCUUUUGUUUAUUCAUAUUUAUUCUGUUUUAUUUGUCUUAUUCUGUUUUGUUUAUUAUUGCUGUCGUUGUUUUUGUUGUAGUUGUUAUAUGUCUAUUUGUGUUUUAGUAAUAAAGAGAAAAAAGGUGGUAGAAUUGGUUUUGUGGGGAAAUAGGAGAGUUAGGAGGAGUGUGAGGGAAACCGUAAUGAGAAUAUAUUGUUUACUAGAUAUUGACGUUCAAUAAAACAUAAAAGAAAAAAUACAGAAGGCUCAGUAUUUCAUAAGUUAGAUCUUGUAAGUAAAGAUGAUUCCAUAGCAAGAACUGACCCAUUAUUAUGUAUAUCUCAGAUUACACAUUUAAAUAUAUGUUGAAAAAAAUUAGAUAAUCACUUGGUUUGGAAGUUAGAGCAAGGAGAUGUCACCUUGUCACCUGUGUGUGUUUCUUGCAUAGCAGUAUUAGGAAACAUCAGAGCUGGUAUCAUGGAGGCUAUUGUGAAGAAAGCAGACUAUGUACAAAAGUUCUUAUCAUUUGUCAAUGUGAACAUGAACUGCCAUCAGUAUUUCAUUAAUUAAAUCUAGAGAAAAACUAAAAUGCCUUUUCUCACAAUUCCUCACUUAGUGCAGAUGGACAGAUCCAUUCAUACACCAAGAUUUAUCUUUUGACACAUGUUGAACAAGCCAUGCUAAAUUUCUUAUAUUUCAAUUAAGUGUGCACAAAUAGCAGAAAACUGUUUUAAAGAUAUUCAUGAUGCAAUUAUUGGGGCAUAAAUAUAAGUGAUACAAGCGAGUCCUCUAUGUCACAAUUUGAAAGAAAAACACAGAUUGUAUAGAGCCAUGAGAAACUGCUGGGUAGUAUAAAACAAUGUAUUUUACUUCUUUAUAUUUCACUUAACACUAUUAUAAAUGCAAGGGAAUUCAAAUAGUUUAUUUCUGAAGUCUAAUCUAGUUAAAAGAGAAAACAAAAUGAAUAGGACUCUUUUUAUGCUCAGAUUUUACUCCAUGCCUAACUGGAGCUUUGGAUAGCUUUAAGAUUAUUUCUUACAUUUAAGUAACAGUUUGUAUGUAAAUUGUUUAAUAACUACUUUUCCAUUGAGAAGUGCUCAUUUGGUUUCAAUCAUUAGUGAUGUUAGUAGAUAGCUAUGAAAUUUAAAUCUAAGAGAAUGAAGCAAUUCUUCCUAGGAUAUACCAUUUCCAAAAGCUAUACAAAAUAUUAAUUACACCAUAGUCAUAAGACAAUGCUGUAGAUAAUAAUACAUUGCAAGCCAGACAUUAUGAUAUAUCAGAUAACAAGGAAAAAAUAAAAUAAAACAGACUUGCCUUUCUAUAUGAAUAAACCUGGUAAGAUUCCACCAACAUUAAUCUAACCAUGGUUUCCAAGUCACUCUUGUUCUGGGGAUCCACAAAGUAUACAUGUGUAUAUGUUAUUUACUCCAGAGUUUUUAGGAAAAUAGUAAGGUGAGCUGCCUGCAGGUGCCUCCAAGUAGAAGGCAAAGUGCUGUCCAUAAAACCCACUGUCAUUUACUAACACACAAGUGCUAUUACUUCUAAAUGCUGUUUCUACCUAAAGGUUGGAAACAUUGCUAAACUUUGUUAAUGUAUAGAGAAAGUCUAGUAAAGUGAAUGGGAUUGAUUACUGUACUAAAUGGCUUUUCUAGUACAAACAGCAUGGUACUUUCACUGUAUAAAACCCAACGUUACCACAUGGAACAUAAAAGAAGGCUGUAGAUAAUUGUGAUGCCUUCUCAUUGGUAUAUUCCCUUUGUGCACAUAAAAAUAAGAUAAAUUGUAAUGUAUAUAAUGCAAUCCAUUAUAUGAAAAAAAAUAAAAAUAAGCAAAUGAAACCUACUAUUUAUUUAUAUUUUAUUUUUGAUUGUUUAUAAGAAUAUUUGCAAUCCAGUACCUGGUGAAGGUGGAGGAUUCAGGAUAGCAUAUAUUCCUGGCAGUGUCCUCUAGGCAUUGAAGUGUUAAUGGGAAAUAGUGCAGUUCCCUGGGGUUCCAAGGAUGUUGCUAAGGAAAUUAUGCAUUCUUCUCUCUUGGGAUUUGAUUCCACAGAAAUUAAGAAAUAUGUUUGUUGUUUAACUUUGUGUGGCUUAGUUCUUUGGGGGUUGAUACAUUUACUCUUAGAUCACCCAUUUAUGAUGUCCUCACCCAUUAAUUCUGAGACCUUGUGAUCAGAUGGAAGCAGAUGAGAAAAUAUCGGUUUAUUCGCUGCUUCCAGCAUUACAUUAAAGACUCAGCAAUUUGAUCUCUAAUGUCAAGAGUAUAUUGUUUUGCAUGACAUUAGUCAUACAUUUUAAUGUUUCUGUAUCUCUAGAUAAGGAAUUUUAAGAGUGUGUAUAGUGCAUAAAACUAUAUGGGAAGCCACAAGAGGGAAGCAAGUAUUAAACAGAAAGGCAAAGGGUACAAUUAGUAAUAUGUGAUAUGAAAGUGGAAAGCAAGUUACUGAAAUUUACAGGGUCCAAGGAAGGAGAGAAAUGGGGAUAAAAAGGAACAAUAGAGGAACAAAAACAAAUCUUGUUUAAGAAUGCCAUCAAGGAGUCCAGUUCUAUGUAAACUUACAUUUUUUAUUCUCAAAAUAGAGAUGUCCUCAUAGAUAUUGAAUCCAUAGGCAUUUAUGAACAGCAAACAAGUAGGAUGUGUUUGAUCCAGUUGUGUGAUUUAAGACAAAAGUACCCCUCAUGGUGAUUUGUUACAAUGAGACAUGCUCCUGAAAGAAACAUCACUGGCUGCAUGUUCUUGCAGACCAUAUCAGCACUCAGGCUAUCACAGCAUCAAGUGUGUCCUUAUAGCUCCUUUCUUUCAGUCACUGAAGAUUCUUCGUCUCUCUUUCAAACUAACAUAAUAAUACGAGUUUAUUAUUUAAAUAUGAUGUUAUAUUUUGCUAUGCUCUAAUAAAAUCCAACUUUUCCAUAAAAUAGAAAAGGAAGAGAAAAAUGCUGAAACAAAAAUACCAAUUAAAACACUGAAUGAAAAUCUUUCAAUUUUGGAAUUUUUGCAAAAAUACUCUUUCAAAUUUAUCAGACCAUAAUACAUCCUAUAUAAAAUAUAAUUUGUUAAAUAUUCAGCCUACCUCCUGCCACGUUUGCCUGAGUAUAUGCCAUCCAGCUUUAGAGUGACAGUCACUUGGAAUUGAUUUUUCAUUUGCCACUCUGUCAUGCAUGUAGAUGCAGUAUGUGAAAGAAAGAUGAGGCCCCUUGAUUACUCUGUAUUUUUCAACUCUGAGUAAGAACAGUAAGAGCCAAAAAAAAGGAGAAAAUACAGAAUGAAUUUUAGUGAAUCACAGCACUUUACUUCAAGGAAAUACCCCCAAAAGAUUUCUUUGAGAAAAGUGAAUUUUAGUAUAAUAUAAUGUUCACAGUUUAUCAAGGAUGGAAUCAGAACUGCCUUUGUGUCCUGUAGGGUAAAAUAACAAUUUAAAUGGGAUAACUUUGAAUCAGAUAACAAUUAAAUUUAACUUUUAAAUAGAAACAGUUUUAUUUCAAUAAAUAAAUGCAUAGGAAAAGAGUAUGUUACAACUGAAUAUCUGAUUCUUUAAAAAGUUACUGAAAGCUGGUUACAUUAUAAAAACUACCAUAUUGCACAGUAUCAUAUUUUCCAGUAAAAUUUACAAAGUUUUCUACAUUUCUUCUCUGAAAUUUUAUUCUUAUAAUUAAUAUUUCUUCUUGAUCAUGAGAAUAAACGCAAUACAAACUAUUACGUUAU